GACACCGAUCAAAUUAAGCUGCGUUCAUCUUAUGUAUAAAAUAACGGCAACAUAUAAUUUUACAAAGGAAACAAUAUAUACUGUGACUAGGCGCUCGAGAUCUCGCUUGUUACAAGCGCAAAAACCAUAGCUCCAAGAGUAAAUAAAAAAUAAAUCAGUGAAUCAUUCUUGCUGAUUCAGCCGAGGUGAUAUAUGUUCAUGAUAAAAAAAAUCUUUCAAUUAACAGGCGCAGACAAAACAAAGUAGGCUCGAGAAAAAAAAAUCGGCCAAUGGCAAUCGCCUUCCAUCGGGGCUCAUCGGACAAAAAUGAGCUCAUAGCC
rnacentral:lncRNA from 1 species